GACGUAGGGCGCGAGCGUUGUCCGGAUUUAUUGGGCGUAAAGAGCUCGUAGGCGGCUCGUCGCGUCGGCUGUGAAAACCCGCGGCUUAACCGUGGGCUUGCAGCUGAUACGGGCGGGCUAGAGUUCGGUAGGGGAGACUGGAAUCCUGGUGAGCGGUGAAAUGCGCAGAUAUCAGGAGGAACACCGGUGGCGAAGGCGGGGUCUCUGGGCCGAUGACUGACGCUGGAGGAGCGAAAGCGUGGGGAGCAAACAGGA
rnacentral:rRNA from 1 species